AACGAACGCUGGCGGCAUGCCUAACACAUGCAAGUCGAACGAGACCUUCGGGUCUAGUGGCGCACGGGUGCGUAACGCGUGGGAAUCUGCCCUCUGGUACGGAAUAACUCAGGGAAACUUGAGCUAAUACCGUAUAAUGACUUCGGUCCAAAGAUUUAUCGCCUGAGGAUGAGCCCGCGUCGGAUUAGCUAGUUGGUGAGGUAAAGGCUCACCAAGGCGACGAUCCGUAGCUGGUCUGAGAGGAUGAUCAGCCACACUGGGACUGAGACACGGCCCAGACUCCUACGGGAGGCAUCAGUGGGGAAUAUUGGACAAUGGGCGAAAGCCUGAGCCAGCAAUGCAGCGUGAGUGAUGAAGGCCUUAGGGUUGUAAAGCUCUUUUACCCGGGAUGAUAAUGACAGUACCGGGAGAAUAAGCCCCGGCUAACUCCGUGCCAGCCGCCGCAGUAA
rnacentral:rRNA from 1 species